CACAGGUGGGAUUGCGUUUUAAAAUAUUGAAUAGGCAUUAAGUGUGAUUAGGUGCCAUGGGCUAGAGUUCUAAGAGGAGAGUUAGAGGAAUAACCAAAGGAAGGAUGAAAUCUAUAGAUAUUGGUUGGAACAUCAAGUAGCGACAGCAUCACUCUAUUUUAGGACUGACACUGAAUCACUAAAGUGUGGGGAGCAAACCGGA
rnacentral:rRNA from 1 species